rnacentral:rRNA from 1 species
UACGUAGGGUGCGAGCGUUAAUCGGAAUUACUGGGCGUAAAGCGUGCGCAGGCGGUUUUGUAAGUCUGACGUGAAAUCCCCGGGCUCAACCUGGGAAUUGCGUUGGAGACUGCAAGGCUGGAGUCUGGCAGAGGGGGGGUAGAAUUCCACGUGUGAGCAGUGAAAAUGCGUAGAGAUGUGGAGGAACACCGAUGGCGAAGGCAGCCCCCUGGGU